rnacentral:rRNA from 1 species
AUGAACGCUGGCGGCGUGCCUAACACAUGCAAGUCGAACGGGGUAUACGCGCUGAUGAUCGAAGUGCUUGCAUAGAGAGAAUCUUGUGUAUACUUAGUGGCGGACGGGUGAGUAACGUGUGGAUAACCUGGUCCAUCCAGGGGGAUAGCAGCUGGAAACGGCUGGUAAUACCGCAUAAGCGCACAGUAAGGCAUCUUACAGUGUGAAAAGAUUUAUCGGGAUGGAAUGGAUCCGCAUCUGAUUAGCCAGUUGGCGGGGUAGAAGCCCACCAAAGCGACGAUCAGUAGCCGGCCUGAGAGGGCGGACGGUCACAUUGGGACUGAGACACGGCCCAGACUCCUACGGGAGGCAGCAGUGGGGGAUAUUGCACAAUGGGGGGAACCCUGAUGCAGCGACGCCGCGUGGGUGAAGAAGUAUUUCGGUAUGUAAAGCCCUAUCAGCAGGGAAGAUAAUGACGGUACCUGAGUAAGAAGCCCCGGCUAACUACGUGCCAGCAGCUGC